rnacentral:misc_RNA from 1 species
GAUGAAGAACGCAGCGAAAUGCGAUAAGUAGUGUGAAUUGCAGAAUUCAGUGAAUCAUCGAAUCUUUGAACGCACAUUGCGCCCCUUGGUAUUCCAUGGGGCAUGCCUGUUCGAGCGUCAUUUGUACCUUCAAGCUUUGCUUGGUGUUGGGUGUUUGUCUCGCCUUUGCGUGUAGACUCGCAUUAAAAUAAUUGGCAGCCGGCGUAUUGAUUUCGGAGCGCAGUACAUCUCGCGCUUUGCACUCAUAACGACAGCGUCCAAAAGUACAUUUUACACUCUUGACCUCGGAUCAGGUAGGGAUACCCGCUGAACUUAAGCAUAUCAAUAAGCGGAGGA